UGAACAGAGGGAAGCUAAGAUUGAAGUUGCAACAUAUUCAAUUGGUAUUUAGAAUCUUUUCUCUGAGAUCUUCCCCCAAACCCCUUUCUAUCAAUCCACACCAGGAAGUUUCUCUUUGUAGACCACCCACCCGUCAUGAGGUAUGGAAGAAGACCCAUAUGAAAAUCGAAGACGGAAAAGAAGUUUGGGUCGAGCCAUGGGCAGAGGAUACCUAUGAGGUACUUCCUAGAUUAUCUCCUCGUCUUGGUGUUGAGGCAAACUAGAGCAAUGCUUGAUUUUUGAAUCGAUAUAAUCUGGAGAGGAUGAGGAGAUCAGGAGCAUGGAGACGAUGAGGAUCAGGAGAAUAGAGAGCAUGGAGAGGCUGAAAUGGAGUAUUAGGUGUCAAUUGUUAUUUUUUUCUAACUUCUGUUAUUUUGGAUCGUUUGAAGUCUAGUGGGAUGCUUUUGAUAUAUGUUUGCAUAACGUCAAAGUUGGUUGGAUAUGUACGAUGUUUGUUGGCUUAAUUUUAAUGCUUGAAUUAUUUCAGAGUAUUUUUAUUAUUGUUUUGAUGGCUA